ACUCAAAUGAAUAGACGGGGGCCCGCACAAGCAGCGGAGCGUGUGGUUUAAUUCGAUGUUACACGAAGAACCUUACCCGGGUUUGACAUGUGAGUGGUAGGGAUCCGAAAGGUGACCGACCCGCAAGGGAGCUUUCACAGGUGCUGCAUGGCUGUCGUCAGCUCGUGUCGUGAGAUGUUCGGUUAAGUCCGCUAACGAGCGCAACCCUCACCACGUGUUACAAGUGUCACGUGGGACCGCCGGUAUCAAGCCGGAGGAAGGUGAGGAUGAGGUCAAGUCAGCAUGGCCUUUAUGUCCGGGGCUACACACACGCUACAAUGGUCGGUACAGAGGGUCGCUAAGCCGCGAGGUGGAGCCAAUCCCCAAAGCCGGCCUCAGUUCAGAUCGCAGGCUGCAACUCGCCUGCGUGAAGUCGGAGUUGCUAGUAAAUGCGCGUCAGCUAUAGUGCAUUGAAUACGUUCUCGGGCCUUGUACACACCGCCCGU
rnacentral:rRNA from 1 species